AAGGCAGCUGAGGAUCUGAGGCAGACUAUAAAGCCAAAGCCGGAUGUGAAGAGGUCAAAUGCUUCGUUGGAUAAAGUGCAGUCUCUUCUGUCUUCCCGGAAAUCCUUGCGUCUUAAGGAAGCACAAAACCUUAGCCUCAGAGUAGGACGAACCUAUGAACAUGACAUCGAAUGCAGUGAGGCCGAGGCAGAUGUCGCAGGGACAACCAUGGCAAUCUACACCGUUCAAGCUGAGGGUGAUGAUCAUGAUGGUCCUGGUGGACUCUUUGCAGAUGUCGGUAUGGUCCUGGAAGGGGUCCAAGUUCUCAACAACCUCCAAAGUAUCAACCAUGCAUGCAUAAUGCUUUAUGGGUUGGUCUAUGCUCUUAAUUUGAGCUAUCCAAAAAACUUGAAGUAUACAUUCGAAGCUUACCAGAAGAUCCUGAUGGACCUGGAAUCGUCCAAGCCUUCAGCCAAAGUACGAGCACUGAAACUCAAAUUGUUCAGGUGACUCUUUUUUUGGGGUGGGGUGGUGAUGGGAGGAGGAAGUACAGGAAGAGACCUAUGUUCUACUACUAUAUGUUUAAUGUUGUUGAGCCUGAAGAGUUUGUUCUGUCCUUUCAUAUCCCAUUACAGCGAUCGUUCCAGCAGAUACAGAUGUAAGGAAUGUUGUUGAGCCUGUAGUUUGUUUGUUUGUUCUAGAUCUAGAAAAAAGAGCAGGUCCUUUACUGCCAUUGUUGGAGCAGAUACUAACUUGCCUCUGUUCUAUUGCAAUUACAAAACAUGUUUCAUGUUCCAUCUAUAGCAGUAGAUUACUUGGUUGAAGAGCUACACUACCUGCUGAGUACAGUGUCUGUGUGAAGAGAAGCGUUAAUAAAUUAGUUGAAUCAACAA